rnacentral:lncRNA from 1 species
AACGGAUUUUCAGUAAUAUGCAUUUCAAUGUGCUAAAUACUAAUGAGAAUAUAAGUUUGUAACUGAUCGAAUAUAAGUUUGUAACUGAUCGAAUCUGUUAAGUUGUUAGCUUGUGUCAGUGGUAGUUAGCUAAGCUCACACAAUGUAUAACGGAAUCUCUCUUCCUCUACAUUCUUUUUACUCAAACCGUUGUUCAUUUACUUUUCUAUUUUUAUUUUUAUUAUGUUUUAAAUUAGAUAGAAAACUCACGAAGGAGUUUUAUUUUUUUUUAAUAUUUUUAUUUCUUAUGAAUAUUUCACAUAAUAAUCGUUUUCUUCUUGGUAUUGCUAUCUCAUUAUUUUCUAUAUGGUAUCAGUCUUACGACAGUCAAAUUGGUAUUGCGCAUAAAUUCAAGUUUUUCCGCAGCAAAAACGAAAGUCAAUCAAAUUAUAAUAUUUAACAUAAUUACCUUAUAAUAUUUAACAUAAUAAUUUUCAAAGAAAUGGUAUAAACGAAAUACUUCACUUAAUCCUAUUAAUUUUAGGAUAUUCAUGUUAGGCCAACUUUUAUGACAUACACGUUUGGCAAUAUUUACUACUACUAUUAAUUUAAUCAUAUUAAUAUUUUGACAUGAACAACGAGCAGCACGAGUGUCAAUGGUUCGGUUCGGUGGUUUUUUUUGUUAAGGAACUCACAGACAAGAGAUUCAAAGACGGAAUAUAUAAAAGAGAAUUACAGGGUAAGGACGAGAUGGUUUUCUUUCAUAGUACCACUCCCAACAAUGGGGGUAGUAGAGCCAAGGAUAUGUUAAAAGAGAUGGCUAUGAGACUAGUGCAAACAAUACGUUUAAAUAGUAGAUUUAGUAGUCUUCUUUCUUUCUCCGGGUUCUGUUCGUAUGUACGCAUACCUUACUCUUAUCUGGCGAGGUAGAGAGGCUGUAUCCAAUAUACCAUCGACAAGAUUAAUAUACGCAUUUUAUAGGACAUAACAAAACUCUCUAGAAAUUUUUAUUUUUUUAAAGGGUGAUGAAUUAAAAAAAGAUGAAAGAUAAUUGGAGUAUAGAUCCAUCAAUUAUUCAACAGGAGCAUAAAGAAACUAAGUAAAUAGAAAGAAAAUAUAAAUAACAAGAGUGGAAAGAUAUUAAUCAAGGUGGGAUUCAAGAAAAGAUUAAAUAUUCAAAAGAUAAAUGCAAAUCAUAUGAAAGGAAACAUAUACAAUACAUUAUAGUUUGCUACUCAUAAUCGCAAGAAUAUACCUCCUUGUGUCUUGCUAGUGAAUAUGCUGAAAAUAAUAUAGUUUCAACAUGAGUAAGAUAAUAGGUUUGUGAAUUAAAAUUUUGAGUUUUUAUUACUUGUUGGCUUGUAACUAUUUUCAUAAUUCCAAGUCCCCAAAAAAACUUAAAGCUUUAUUAUUUUUGAACUUAAUAUAUAAAUAUAUUUUCUAUAUUAACUUUAUUCGGUAUCGUUCGGUAUUUUUUUUUCACUUUAUUUUUAUAAAAUUAAAAACCUACAUUAAU